AGCAGUCGCCGCGGGAAUACGUAGGUGGCAAGCGUUGUCCGGAAUUAUUGGGCGUAAAGCGCGCGCAGGUGGUUUAAUAAGUCUGAUGUGAAAGCCCACGGCUCAACCGUGGAGGGUCAUUGGAAACUGUUAAACUUGAGUGCAGGAGAGAAAAGUGGAAUUCCUAGUGUAGCGGUGAAAUGCGUAGAGAUUAGGAGGAACACCAGUGGCGAAGGCGGCUUUUUGGCCUGUAACUGACACUGAGGCGCGAAAGCGUGGGGAGCAAACAGGAUUAGAUACCCCGUAGUCCCUGUCUCUUAUACA
rnacentral:rRNA from 1 species